GUUUGAUCAAUUUACAUUGCAAUCGGUCUCGAUUCUCAGGUGUGCGUGAUGAAUGUCCCUCUGUUACACCGAAUUAUUAUCGUCGUAUAUUUGUCUUCCUUCACUUCCUGCUCCACAGUAAGGGAUUUCAACAUGCCAAAAGAAGUUUACAUUACCAACUGGGGAGAUUACCAUUUACCUAAGCCCGUCCCUACCGAUAAAAUGAAACAAAUAUUGAAAAUUAUUUCACAAUUCAAAACUCUACAGUAUUGCCCAUUUCCAGAUAAAGAAAGGUGUCAAACUGAACCCGUAAAAAGUACAAUUGCAAAAAUAAUUGAUGAUGUCUUAAAUAAAAAAGAAUUUAAAAGUAGAACCAAGACUGAAACAAAUAUUAGAAAUAAAGUGCUCAAAAAUAAUGACUAUAAUGAUGAAGAACUUCAUGUGGAAAUUUUGGAUCCUUAAAGUAGUGUAAUAUACUAAUAGUAUUCCGAUUUUAUACCAUUUAUCGAGGGCCGACGACUUUAUUAAAUUCUAUCGCUAUCACCCAGCAUUUAGCGUAUAAGAAGGGUCCAAGGUUGUGACAAAAAUGUUCACGUGAAAAUAGACCUUUAUUUCAAUCAGUUCAAUCAUCGACUCUACUAGUAAUACUUAUUGAUUAAAUUGCGAUAAGUUCCAGUUGCUACGAACUUGAACUACGUUAUGACUUUUUCAUUUUAUUUUUUUUAUUUGCUAAAAAUAUAUCUGCAUAAAAUAUU